rnacentral:misc_RNA from 1 species
UCGUAACAAGGUCUCCGUUGGUGAACCAGCGGAGGGAUCAUUACAGAGUUGAAAAACUCCCAAAACCACUGUGGACUAUACCAGUUUUGUUGCUUCGGUGGGUGGCCCCAGGGCGGGGCCGCCGCCUCCUUCGGGAGGCACCUGCCGCAAGCCCUUAAAACUCUUUUGAAUUUUGGUUACAUCUCUGAGUUAGCAUACAAAACGCGAAAAAAACUUUCAACAACGGAUCUCUUGGCUCUAGCAUCGAUGAAGAACGCAGCGAAAUGCGAUAAGUAAUGUGAAUUGCAGAAUUCAGUGAAUCAUCGAAUCUUUGAACGCACAUUGCGCCCGCCAGCAAUCUGGCGGGCAUGCCUGUUCGAGCGUCAUUUCAACCCUCAAGCUCUGCUUGGUGUUGGGGCGCCACGGGGCUUAGGCACCGUGGGCUCUUAAAGUCAGUGGCGGACUCUCUGUGUGUCCGGGCGUAGUAGAGAUAUGUCGCCUGUGGACGCGCUGGGAGAUCCAGCCGUAAAACCCUUACUGCUGUAAAUACAGAAGGUUGACCUCGGAUCAGGUAGGACUACCCGCUGAACUUAAGCAUAUCAAUAAGCGGAGGAAAAGAAACCAACAGGGAUUGCCCCAGUAACGGCGAGUGAAGCGGCAACAGCUCGAAUUUGA